UGACGAUCAGCCGCAGUGCGGCCUUGUUCAUCAAGAUUCAAAAAAUUAAGAGUAAAGAGUGCCAUGGAGACGGCCACUCUCAGUGUUAAGGGCAGAGCCUCGUCGACUCCCCCUUCCUGUUUGAUUAGUUCUGAAUCCACCCCGUCUCCAGGGGUUCUCCUCGAUGCCGGCGAUGUUGAUCCUGGGUUUCCAGCACCAGAUGACCUGCACUACUGUCUCGCCAGCAAGAACGCAUGCAUGACACUCGGAUCCUUCUGCAGUAAAGCUUUAAUGCAUCUCGAGAGAUAGAUGAUCAGCUUCAGGAGAGGAGACGCAGAGAGCAGAAAACCCUUCCCUUAUAUAGGCUGCGAAGUAUGGUUGGAGACGUGCACCACCCGGAUUGGCUGCCCACCAUCAGCCCAGAUGACGCCACA
rnacentral:lncRNA from 1 species